rnacentral:rRNA from 1 species
GACGAACCGUCCAAACGUUAUUCGGAAUUACUGGGCUUAAAGGGUGCGUAGGCGGUGCUACAAGUCGGGUGUGAAAUCCCUCAGCUUAACUGAGGAACUGCGCCCGAAACUGUAGUGCUGGAGUGAGGCAGGGGUGAGCGGAACUGAUGGUGGAGCGGUGAAAUGUGUUGAUAUCAUCAGGAACACCGGUGGCGAAGGCGGCUCACUGGGCCUUUACUGACGCUGAGGCACGAAAGCUAGGGGAGCAAACGGGAUUAGAAACCCCAGUAGUCC